UACAGAGGGUGCGAGCGUUAAUCGGAAUUACUGGGCGUAAAGCGCGCGUAGGCGGCUUUGCAAGUCGGGUGUGAAAUCCCCAGGCUUAACCUGGGAACUGCAUUCGAGACUGCAUUGCUAGAGUAUGGGAGAGGGAAGUGGAAUUUCCGGUGUAGCGGUGAAAUGCGUAGAUAAUCGGAAGGAACAUCAGUGGCGAAAGCGACUUCCUGGACCAAUACUGACACCGGAAACGCGAAAGCCAGGGGAGACAACGGGG
rnacentral:rRNA from 1 species